CCUACGGGAGGCAGCAGUGAGGAAUAUUGGUCAAUGGGCGAGAGCCUGAACCAGCCAAGUCGCGUGAGGGAAGACGGUCCUAUGGAUUGUAAACCUCUUUUGCCGGGGAGCAAAAAGCGGUACGUGUACCGCAUCGAGAGUACCCGGAGAAAAAGCAUCGGCUAACUCCGUGCCAGCAGCCGCGGUAAUACGGAGGAUGCGAGCGUUAUCCGGAUUUAUUGGGUUUAAAGGGUGCGCAGGCGGGAGAUCAAGUCAGCGGUAAAAUGUCGGGGCUCAACCCCGGCCGGCCGUUGAAACUGGUUUUCUAGAGUUGGAGAGAAGUAUGCGGAAUUCGUGGUGUAGCGGUGAAAUGCAUAGAUAGCACGAAGAACUCCGAUUGCGAAGGCAGCAUACCGGCUCCAUACUGACGCUGAGGCACGAAAGCGUGGGGAUCGAACAGGAUUAGAUACCCGAGUAGUC
rnacentral:rRNA from 1 species